UGUUCAUUUCACGGCUGGCGGAAGCAAGGCGGCACAGGGGUUAUAGGAGAGCAAAGAAAGUACCCUCACAGGCCCAGGUUGCUGAAAAUGAAGACAUAACAGAAGAGUUGGAUGCUGCUGUGGCAUUGUCAGAACUUUCAGUCCUUCAAGCAGCGGCCAGUCCAGCUGGUCCUUUCGACGAGGAAAGGAUGCUUGUUUUGUUGCGAGCCUCGCUAAGUGAACGGAAACUGAGUCCUCCACCAUGUUUGCCAUGCUACUUUCUGAAUGAAGACAUUAUCUCCAUCGAAGCAGAGCUUCGAUUUGAAGACAAAAUGUCAAGUAUGUUGGCACGGUUGCGCUUGGCAAAAGAAGUUGUGUCAAAAACCUGCGGCCGCGAAAUGGACUUUGUUGACAUUGAUGAUUACUUGAAGGGUAAUCAUGCCAAAUAUGCACUGAUAACACUGGUAGGCUUUUCAUUUUUCUGUUAUUAGCCUUUUCCGCAUUCCGUACUUUUAGCGGUUCUUCAGUAAAUAUGUCGUAAAAUGUUGUAGUGUGCGUAAGGUGGGAUAUCUGUCAAUUUCUUGGAUGGAAAGAAAUGGUGGCAGUGGCAGGUGUGUAAA